UACUCCUACGGGAGGCAGCAGCCGCGGUAAUAUUGCGCAAUGGGCGAAAGCCUGACGCAGCAACGCCGCGUGAGGGAUGAAGGCUUUCGGGUUGUAAACCUCUUUCAGCAGGGACGAUUGUGACGGUACCUGCAGAAGAAGCCCCGGCCAACUACGUGCCAGCAGCCGCGGUAAU
rnacentral:rRNA from 1 species